rnacentral:rRNA from 1 species
GACGAACGCUGGCGGCGUGCUUAACACAUGCAAGUCGAACGGAAAGGCCCUGCUUUUGUGGGGUGCUCGAGUGGCGAACGGGUGAGUAACACGUGAGUAACCUGCCCUGGACUUUGGGAUAACUUCAGGAAACUGGGGCUAAUACCGGAUCGGAGCUCCCGCCGCACGGUGGGGGUUGGAAAGUUUCGGCGGUUGGGGAUGGACUCGCGGCUUAUCAGCUUGUUGGCGGGGUAGUGGCUUACCAAGGCUUUGACGGGUAGCCGGCCAGAGAGGGUGCCCGGCCACAUUGGGACUGAGAUACGGCCCAGACUCCUACGGGAGGCGGCAGUGGGGAAUAUUGCACAAUGGGCGGACGCCUGAUGCAGCAACCCCGCGUGCGGGGUGACGGCCUUCGGGUUGUAAACCGCUUUCGCCUGUGACGCAGCGUCUGUGACGGUAAUGGGUAAAGAAGCACCGGCUAACUACGUG